rnacentral:rRNA from 1 species
CCUACGGGUGGCAGCAGUGGGGAAUAUUGGGCAAUGGACGCAAGUCUGACCCAGCAACGCCGCGUGAAGGAAGAAGGCUUUCGGGUUGUAAACUUCUUUUAAGGGGGAAGAGCAGAAGACGGUACCCCUUGAAUAAGCCACGGCUAAAUAGGUGCCAGCAACCGCGGUAAUACGUAGGUGGCAAGCGUUGGCCGGAUUUACUGGGGGGAAAGGGCGUGCAGGCGGAGAGAAAAGUCCGAUGGGAAAUCCACGGGCUCAACCCGUGACCUGCAUUUGAAACUGUUUCCCGUGAGUGGCGGAGAGGUAAUCGGAAUUCCUUGUGUAGCGGUGAAAUGCGUAGAUAUAAGGAAGAACACCAGUGGCGAAGGCGGAUUACUGGACGAUAACUGACGGUGAGGCGCGAAAGCGUGGGGAGCAAACAGGAUUAGAUACCCUAGUAGUC